GCGCUCGUGGCGGAAUUGGCAUACGCGAUAGGUUGAGGACCUAUGCCCGCAAGGGCGUGUGGGUUCAAGUCCCACCGAGCGCACCA
rnacentral:tRNA from 2 species